ACUCAAAUGAAUAGACGGGGACCCGCACAAGCGGUGGAGCAUGUGGUUUAAUUCGAAGCAACGCGAAGAACCUUACCAGGUCUUGACAUACCGAUCUUAUUCUUAGAGAUAGGAAGUCCCUUCGGGGGAUCGGAUACAGGUGGUGCAUGGUUGUCGUCAGCUCGUGUCGUGAGAUGUUGGGUUAAGUCCCGCAACGAGCGCAACCCUUAUCGUUAGUUGCCAGCAGUAAGAUGGGCACUCUAGCGAGACAGCCGUAGAUAAUACGGAGGAAGAUGGGGAUGACGUCAAAUCAUCAUGCCCCUUAUGGCCUGGGCUACACACGUGCUACAAUGGACGGUACAACGAGUAGCGAGCUAGUGAUAGCAAGCUAAUCUCUAAAAACCGUUCUCAGUUCGGAUUGAAGGCUGCAACUCGCCUUCAUGAAGUCGGAAUCGCUAGUAAUCGCGGAUCAGCACGCCGCGGUGAAUACGUUCCCGGGUCUUGUACACACCGCCCGU
rnacentral:rRNA from 1 species